GUGGAUUGAUGAGCUCCUGAGCCAAAGACAUCCCAGGUCUGAGCAAGGCAAGAGCUCCAUCCCUGUUGCGUCAGGCCGAAUGGAAGCCAACACUUGCCAUGAAGUAAGAAAAUUUGUUUCAUGCCAUGGAAUGUUGAUACUAAAUGGAAGGAGGGGAAGAAAAGAGCACACAUCUGCAUGUUGGAAAAGGAGCGGUUAGCUACCUUCUUGCAUGUGCUGGCUCUCUUUGAACACCUCCAUCGCCACCUAAGAGACAAUGUGGAGAGGUGCUUUGUCCACUGCAAUCUGUUCCUGCAUGGGAUGACACUUGGAUGACUGGAGCAUGCUGGAGCCAGGUGAAUGAUGCACAGGGCUUCCCAGGCUUGGAGCUGUUGCCAGCUGUUGGGCUGCUGCUCUUGGAUUCACAGAAUCAUAAUCACAGAAACACAGAAUGGCCAGGGUUGGAAGGGACCUCAAGGAUCAUGAAUCUCCAACCCCCUGCCACAUGCGGGGCCACCAAUCUCCCCAUCUCAUACCAGACCAGGCUGCCCAGGAUUCCUGUACCUGCACCUGCCUGGUUGCUCCUGAGCAGAGAUGUGCCUUGCUCAGGGAGCAGGUGAUGUCAGCUCAAGGCAAAGUACAACAGGGUGGAAACAACAAAAAAUGAGCUGAGAGAAUGUUGUACUCGCACAGGCAGAUCUCUUAACACUCCAGAAUUAGUGACAGGCUGAGACCUAUGCUGUGCAGGAAGGAUGCAGGAAGAGGCCAUCUGUGGAAGCAGUGGGACACUUGUCAUCCCAGCGAGGCAGCAAGACAGAAUCUUCUUCCAGCAAAAGCCAGCAAACAGACGGAGCUUGCUUCCAUCUGCCAACCUCAGUCUGAAUCAAGCAGAAAGAGACAGAAAUCCCAUAGGACAUCUCAUCUUCCUAGAAGGGAGCCUGAGCUUGAAGCAAACGGAUCGGAGGAGCGGAGUGAAGGCAAACGUAGAAACACGAAGAGGGACAAAUCUUCGUCAUUUUGCCAGGCUGAACGGAGCUGUCACAUUACAAGGUCAGGCCGAAGCGAGCUGAUUUUGCAGGAAGGAGGGAUGAAAUGACUACAGAGGUGGAAAGUGCAGAAGGCAACGCUGGCUCAUCCUCCGUUAUUUGAUUGCUCUUCUGACCCCACAGGUUUUCAUAAAGUUGAUUAACAGAUCCAGGAGCCUUGCUGCUUCCCAUCCUCCUUCCAGGCGGGCUGAGAAAACAGGAGCAGCAGCACUGAGAGGUUGCUGACAAACAGCCAAAUGGGGUUCGGUCUGCCAGGAGCUGCACACCAGGUGGGACCUCAGCUGGGCUGCUCUUGGGACCACAGAUGCAUCCUUCCCAUCCACCCAGGGCAGGGCAGUGAGCCCUCUCCUAGGGCAGGACCUGGAAGAGUAAGCAGGAUUUAGGAGCGUUCGAGCUGCGUUCAGUUCAGGUUUUAAUCUGCAGAGCGUGAAGAAAUUCUCAUUAAAGUCAGCCACCAAAGUUUACGUCCAUUUGACCUGUAGAAAGGCUAGUUCAAAACAAAAUCUUUGUGGUGGGAAGAACGGAAAACACUUCAAAGCAGCUAAAUCAGAGAAAGAUGCUUAGCCUUUCGUUUAAUGCUCCAAGGAGUCUUCUAGCAUGGAGACAGCAGUCUGUUCCAAAUUGGUGCUGUCAUUCCAGACACACAGACCUGGGAAUGGACAAUUCGGGGUCCAUAAUAUUUAUAAUCUCAGUGUGUGGCCUCUCUUCUGUGUCCUGCUGUCUGCUCUGAUUGCACAGUGUUUGUCUUACUUCAAGAGCCAUCAUAUGUGACGCGGACAUAAUGUUUCCCUUCUUAUUUCUCCUUUAAAUUAUAGGAGUUUCACUGAGCUCUAUGAUUUGUGCAGGCUGUAUUACAGGCAUCAAUCACAGCUUGCUUUUUCCCUUCCAUCUCUAAUGGCACAAGGUUCUUCCUUCAGUGCUCACAGUCCUACACAGACCUAGUGUGAGUUAAAAGGUAUCAGCUGGGGAGGGGCUGGAAGGGCAGAGCAGUGUUCAUUCUUAGAGGUCAGAUGGGUGAGCAAAAAGCAAAAUACUAUCAGCUUGUGCAGC
ensembl:lncRNA